ACCCCGCCGAGGGAGGGAGAGAAGCGCUAGGAAAAGGAAGAGGAGAAGGAGCUCGAGCGGGAGGCAAGCGAGAGGCUCUUUUGCUCCUCCCAAAGCAGGGGGCGGCUCCACUGUGCUUCUGAUGACCCGGCCGCCGCCGCCGCCCUGCAACCGCUCCCCGGGACCCCUCAACGCUGACACUGAUGACCCGCGGCGGGGGCGCUGGGCGCGGGGUGCGCAGGCCACUGGCCGCGGGCUCUCGGGCCCGCUCCUGCCGCCGGCUUCUGCUGCUUCCGCGUGCCGUGGACACUGCCAGAAUUUGUCAAAGGUCCUAGGAAGAAAAGGCUCUUUCACCCCUCCCCUCAAUGAACAGAUGGCGUGUUUGGACUGUUCGCAUUCGCUCCUCAUAGGUGGGAUCCUGGAGGAAGUUAAGGGGUGCUCCGUUCCCUGGGGAUGGGACAGCAGCUCGCCUUUUUACUAAUAGCUAUAAGGGACUGUCAGACAUUUACCUGACUAGACCUUCACCUCAGAGCUCAGAAGGGGAACAGCUCCAGAACUAAAAGAGAGAGCCUCUGGCAGACCCCAAAAGACAGCAUGUGGAGUGAAGCUGGGCUUCCCUGCCCAAUCACUAGGAUCAUUUAUUGCACAAAUACCUGUAUUUUAAGCUGCAGAUUAUUGUGAAUUUUUGUAUUUUCUUCAUUUCCAUUUAGCUUUUUUUCAAUUUUAGAAUAGCCUUUCUCUAGAUAACUCGAGGAAGUGGGAGACGGAAUUUCCUUUGUUUCUGUCUUGAGCCCAAAGGGACAAUUGAGUGUCAGGUAUGACAGGGAUAAAGGGAGAAACUCAGAAAUAAUGCUUUUGUUUUGUUUUGUUUUGUUUUGAGAUGGAGUCUCGCUCUUGUCGCCCAGGCUGGAGUGCAAUGGCAUGAUCUUGGCUCACUGCAAACUCCACCUCCUGGGUUCAAGCGAUUCUCCUCCUCAGCCUCCCAAGUAGAUGGGCUUACAGGCAAGCGCCAUCACGCCCGGCUAAUUUUGUAUUUUUAGUAGAGAUGGGGUUUCACCAUAUUGGUCAGUCCGGUCUUGAACUCCUGACCUUGUGAUCCACCCACCUUGGCCUCUCAAAGUGCUGGGAUUACAGGCAUGAGCCACCGCACCCAGCCAGAGGAAUGUUUUGGGUGCUACACGUGCAGCCCCUCAUGACUGUAUCUCCUCAGAGCUCUUUUCUUCACAUUCCUGAGUGCUUUGUGUUUUGUUUAUUUAAGGGACAAAUGAAUCUCUUCCCACGCCAUGGGAUUUCCCUUGAUUUUUAUAUUGGGAGUGAAAAGAUGAAGCAUGAGACUCUUCAGCUGCAUCUCGAACUGCAUCUAAUCCCAGCACAUCUCUCUCAAUCUUUGAUUAAGUCUGUUCAUCUAAAAGAGAGACACAGGGGAAAAAUGGAAAUGGGACUUUGGAAGAAUGACCAUCCACAUUCCCAUCACAGCCUGAGAUUUCCUACCUGAUUGAGAUUUUCAGUAGAUGGCCCUAGGUCUAGUUUCCCACUUUGGACCUGCUGCCCUUGGCUCCAAUAGAGGACUUCCAAGUAACUAGGAAGAUUUCACCUCUCUUUUGAAACAUAAUGGACAAAUGUGUUUCUUUAGGAUGAGAGGUGCACCUGGCUAGUCAAUCUUUAUUUUCCUAAAAUAAACAGGAUGAAAACUCAAAACAAAAAGAAAUACCUCAUGGGCAAAAGCUCUCCCAAUACAACUAAUACAGACACUCAACAUGGCUUUGUAGAAACUGACCCCUCUCCCAAGUCUUAUGUUUGUCAGAAUUGCAUGCCUAUUUCAAUCGAAGAAAAGUGAUCUGAUCUCUUCAGAUGAAGGUGGGACUUGGAGAUGCUGCUGCCUAGAGUUAACUUGCCAGAGAAAGGAUAAGCAUUCGGGAAGUGCCAGGAUGGGGUAUCAGCUGAACAAUGGCAGGAUCCCUUCUGCCAGUGGGCUGGCUCAGGGAGUAAACCUCCCCGGAAGGAAUUUUGUUUCUCUCUAGAAUCAAAGUGGGCAAAAUGAUCACCUUAUUCGCCUGGAGUGAACCAGGUUGAAACUGAGAAGGCAGACAUGGGUGAUAAGCCAGAUGAAGUCAUAUGUUAUAACUAAGCUAUGUACCUGUAACUUGCCUGGUAGUUUUUUCAUUCUCUCUAAACAGGUCAUAAUAAGUGUUAGUCUGUGAUCCACUAUGGAGAGAGAUUUCUGGAAAGAAUAGAGGCAGUGGUAGAGGGUCCAAGGUUGUUAUUUAAGGAGAUGAAUGUGGGUCAGGUGCCGUGGCUCACACCUGUAAUCCCAGCAUUUUGGGAGGCAGAGGCAGGAGGAUUGCUUAAGGCCAGAGUUCAAGACCAAACUGGCCAAUAUAGUGAGAUCCCCCCCCCAUCUCUACAAAAGAUAGAAAAACUUAGCCAGGCAUGGUGGCAGGUGCUAUAGUCCCUGCCACCAUGGGACUACAGCUCCUGCAGUCCCAGCUACUCAGGAGUUGAGGCGGAAGGAUUGCUUGAGCCCAGAAGUUCGAGGUUGCAGUGAGCCAUGAUCAUGCCACUGCACUCCUCCGUGGGUGACAGAGCGAGACCUGACUCAAUAAUAAUAAUAUUAAUAAUAAUGAUAAUGCAACACAAACUAUCUUUUACCUCUUGAACAAUGAAUGCAGAUGCCAUGACUACAUCUGUUUGUUGGGGACCAGGGAGGCUGCCAGUGAGGAUUCAGGGUGGAAGUAGUGUGUACCCAAUACCUAUUGUGAGAUGUGGCCUGGGGAGCCCUGAGAUUGCCUGGCCAGGCUCACUCACUACCCAGACACCCUCUUCCUGCAUGGCGAGUCCCUCAGCCCCUCCAAGGCUCAAUUCUCAGACAUCGGAGUAAUCCACAUCCUCCAUCUUGAGUUACUCCUCACAAGGCCUGCAAGUUUUCCUAGGAGGAAGGGAAGACAGGGUUGAACCCACACAAUUCUAGAAUCUAGAAUUUGGAGGAUUUCUAAACCAUUUCUGUAAGUCAGCCCUUGAGAACUUGUAGAUUUUCUCAUCAUUUGCAGCAUGAGAGUCUGGAGUAGACUGUUUGGAUUUGACUCUUGGUUCCUUGGGCAAGUUACUUAACCUCUCAGCUGUGUGUCAGUUUCCUUAUCUAAAAAGUGUGGUUAAUAAUAACUGACCUCUCAGAGGUAUUGUGAGGUUACUGUGAUGAUUAAAUUAGUUGAUUCAUAUAAAAUGUUUAAAAGAGUGCCUGGCAUUAUUAUUAAUAGUAAUAAGUUUAGCAUAAGUCUUGCCUGCCAAUAAGGAGCUGGAUUGAAUGACUACUUUGAUUCUAUUUCUUGGCCUUCUCUUCUCUGGACUAGGUGACCCCAACUUUCUCCUUACUCCUGAAAAAUUUAUCCCAGUCUGCUAAGGAAGAGAAAGCCCAUGUGUGCACAUACACACAUGCACCUACACAAACAUUUACAUACAGUUUUGCUCUUCUAUACAGAGUUAAUAGAGCUACUAGAGUGUCUAGGAACCAAUCUGAAAGAGAAAGGAAACACUGCUUUUUUUUUGUUUGUUUUUUGAGAUGGAGUCUCACUCUGUCACCAGGCUGGAGUGCAGUGGCGCAAUUGUGGCUCACUGCAAACUCCACUUCCCUAGUUCAAAUGAUUCUCCUGCCUCAGCCUCCCGAGUAGCUGGGACUACAGGCGUGCAUCACCACACCCAGCUAAUUUUUGUAUUUUUAGUAGAGAUGGGGUUUCACCAUGUUGGCUAGGAUGGUCUUGAUCUCUUGACCUCGUGAUCUGCCUGCCUCAGCCUCUCAAAGAGCUGGGAUUACAGGCAUGAGUCACCACGCCCGGCCGAAACACUGCUUAUUACAAUUUAUAGGUUUAUGUUCAAAAAGUUGCUAAUCUUAUUGCUGUGAACCCCUGCCAUCUCUAGUCCUGCCCACCUAUAGGUACUGCAGACCAAAUUACAGAUUCAGAUUUGCCCAGUUCCUGUUCCUGUCUUGACCAAUCCUAGUAACUUAUUUGGGGCCCAGCCCCAUCUUCAGUGGAAGGUCUAAAAUUGGCCUUGCUUCCUUAAGCUGGGUACACAGUGGGCCCAGGACUAAGCCUCAUGAAGCUUUUAGAGGCCCACUGAGAUUAACCUUUCUCACCAGUGCUCACCUUGUCUUCCUAGUGACCAUGGCUGCCUUCUGUCUAGUUCUAGAGUUGCACUCUAAUUCUCUUCCAGCGCUGUUGCCCUGAUCUACAUAUCUAUCUCUUUUAGAACUUUCCAGCUUAUGUGUCCAAUGUCAGUCUUUCUUCCAAAUAAAUAGAACUUUAUCUUGAUGAAUAUUUAAUGUUCAACCCACCCCUGGUCCCUGGCUAGAAUCAUCUCUGAAAUGUCUAAAGCUCUGCCACUACCUGCACCAGGAGAAGCAAUGUGUCACCACCAACCUAAUAGCAACCAUCAGCUUUGCUGGAGUUAUCCAUUCACCGAACUGAAUCUAUCAGCUUUCCUGAGUUCACUGGGACACUGAUUUGGACCGGACACCAUCACUUGAGAAACAGCGUUAGCACCAGGGUGAACACCACCAGUACCCGACCUGCCUGUAGUUAGCUUCCUCCUCUUUCCCUAUUGACCCACAGAUUAAGUUGCUGCAUGCCCUGGGGCAACACCUGGGGGUAUGACAACUGAAAACUAAGA
ensembl:lncRNA LINC00900 long intergenic non-protein coding RNA 900